CCUACGGGUGGCAGCAGUGAGGAAUAUUGGUCAAUGGCCGAGAGGCUGAACCAGCCAAGUCGCGUGAGGGAAGACAGCCCUACGGGUUUUAAACCUCUUUUAUCGGGGAGCAAAGCGCGUCACGUGUGAGUCAUUGAAUGUACCCGAAGAAAAAGCAUCGGCUAACUCCGUGCCAGCAGCCGCGGUAAUACGGAGGAUGCGAGCGUUAUCCGGAUUUAUUGGGUUUAAAGGGUGCGUAGGCGGUCUGUUAAGUCAGCGGUAAAAGCCCGGGGCUCAACCCCGGCGAGCCGUUGAAACUGGCUGACUUGAGAUGUCGCGGGGUACGUGGAAUGCGCGGUGUAGCGGUGAAAUGCUUAGAUAUUGCGCAGAACUCCGAUCGCGAAGGCAGCAUACCGGCGGCGAUCUGACGCUGAGGCUCGAAAGCGUGGGUAUCGAACAGGAUUAGAUACCCCUGUAGUC
rnacentral:rRNA from 1 species